GACGAACCGUACAAACGUUAUUCGGAAUUACUGGGCUUAAAGGGUGCGUAGGCGGCGUGGCAAGUUGGGUGUGAAAUCCCUCGGCUCAACCGAGGAACUGCGCCCAAUACUGCCGUGCUUGAGGGAGACAGAGGUGAGCGGAACUUAGGGUGGAGCGGUGAAAUGCGUUGAUAUCCUAAGGAACACCUGUGGCGAAAGCGGCUCACUGGGUCUCUUCUGACGCUGAGGCACGAAAGCUAGGGUAGCGAACGGG
rnacentral:rRNA from 1 species